UUAAAGUGGUACGUGAGCUGGGUUUAGAACGUCGUGAGACAGUUCGGUCCCUAUCUGCCGUGGGUGUAGGAUACUUGAGAGGAGUUGCCCCUAGUACGAGAGGACCGGGGUGAACGAUCCACUGGUGGACCAGUUGUUAUGCCAAUAGCAGUGCUGGGUAGCUAUGAUCGGAAAGGAUAACCGCUGAAGGCAUCUAAGCGGGAAGCCCCCCUCAAAACAAGGUAUCCCUGAGGGCCGUGGUAGACCACCACGUCGAUAGGCCGGAGGUGUAAGCGCAGCAAUGCGUUCAGCUGACCGGUACUAAUGGCCCGAUAGGCUUGAU
rnacentral:rRNA from 1 species